UACAGAGGGUGCAAACGUUGUUCGGAAUUACUGGGCGUAAAGCGCGUGUAGGCUGCUUCGCAAGUCGGGUGUGAAAGCCCUGGGCUCAACCUAGGAAGUGCACUCGAAACUGCGGAGCUUGAGUCUCGGAGAGGAUCGCGGAAUUCUCGGUGUAGAGGUGAAAUUCGUAGAUAUCGAGAGGAACACCGGUGGCGAAGGCGGCGAUCUGGACGAUGACUGACGCUGAGACGCGAAAGCGUGGGGAGCAAACAGG
rnacentral:rRNA from 1 species